rnacentral:lncRNA from 1 species
AUGCAUAGGCCCUUAGUUGAUUUGUUUAUGUGCUUUACUCCUUGUCAUUUCCAGGACCCCACUGGUGACUCUAGGCUUCCCAAGGUGAUAGCAGAGCAGGAAGUGGAAACAGCUGAAGACCCAGGUGGCAAGCCUUCAGGCUGAAAAGGCAGACCUGCUGGUCAUCGUGUCUGAAUUACAGCUCAAGCUGACUGCCAGCGGCUCCUCAGAAGACUCCUUUGUUGAAAUCAAGAUGGCUGAAGGAGAAGCAGAUGGAACAUUAAAAGAAAUCAAGAAUAGUCUUGAGCCUACAAGAACAGUCUCCAUUGACAUGAGCAAAUAUGCCAAAGGUGCCAAGAAUUAUUUGGAAUUUGAAGAAUUAACUGUGAGCCAGCUCCUGCUUUGCCUAAGGGAAGGAAACCAGAAGGUGGAGAGACUUGAAAUUGUGCUCAAAGAAGCCAAAGAAAGAAUUUCAGAGUUUGAAAAUAAAGCAAAUGAUCAUUCUGAAGUUGAGACUCAGACAGAGGACAGCGAAGAAAAAGAGAAUGAAGAGGAGAAAGACACAGAGACUGUUGGAAGCGAAGUAGAAAUGUUGAACCUUCAGGCGAUAUCGCUGUUUAAGGAGCUUCAAGAGGCUCAUACAAAAUUGAGUGAAGCCGAGCUGAUGAAGAAGAGACUUCA